UGGGGAAUAUUGCGCAAUGGGCGAAAGCCUGACGCAGCAACGCCGCGUGAGUGAUGAAGGCCUUCGGGUCGUAAAGCUCUGUCGGAGGGAACGAAUGCUCCUGAAGUUAACAGCCUCGGGGGGUGACGGUACCCUCAAAGGAAGCACCGGCUAACUCUGUGCCAGCAGCCGCGGUAAUACAGAGGUGGCAAGCGUUGUUCGGAAUUACUGGGCGUAAAGGGCGCGUAGGCGGCCUACUAAGUCAGACGUGAAAUCCCCGGCUUAACCUGGGAACUGCGUCUGAUACUGGAAGGCUUGAGUAUGGGAGAGGGAUGUAGAAUUCCAGGUGUAGCGGUGAAAUGCGUAGAUAUCUGGAGGAAUACCGGUGGCGAAGGCGGCAUCCUGGACCAUUACUGACGCUGAGGCGCGAAAGCUAGGGGAGCAAACGGGAUUAGAUACCCUCGUAGUCCCUGAGCGGGCUGGCAAGGCGCAU
rnacentral:rRNA from 1 species